CCUACGGGUGGCUGCAGUGGGGAAUAUUGCACAAUGGGGGGAACCCUGAUGCAGCGACGCCGCGUGAGUGAAGAAGUAUUUCGGUAUGUAAAGCUCUAUCAGCAGGGAAGAAAAUGACGGUACCUGACUAAGAAGCCCCGGCCAAAUACGUGCCAGCAGCCGCGGUAAUACGUAGGGGGCAAGGGUUAUCCGGAUUUACUGGGUGUAAAGGGGGCGUAGACGGUUCGCCAAGUCUGGAGUGAAAAGCCGGAGCUUAACUGCGGAACUGCUUUGGAAACUGGCGAACUAGAGUGAGGGAGGGGUAAGCGGAAUUCCGAGUGUAGCGGUGAAAUGCGUAGAUAUUAGGAGGAACACCGAUGGCGAAGGCAGCUUACUGGAUCGUAACUGACGUUGAGGAUCGAAAGCGUGGGGAGCAAACAGGAUUAGAUACCCCAGUAGUC
rnacentral:rRNA from 1 species